UUCAGAAACCCACGCCCACUCUCACUUAAUCAAAACCCAUAGCAAUAAAGCUACUACAGAUCUAUCAAUCUAUUUUCCUUCACUUAAUCUCUUCCAUUUCUUCUUCACGUAAUCUCUUCCAUUUCUUCUUCAUUUCCUCCGAUUUCAAGCCGGUGUAGUUGCAAAAUUCCAAAACAAUAGCUCUCUGCUUUUCUUCAGCGCCUCCUCUUUCUUCAGUGCCUCCUCUGUUGCAAAAUAAAAGAGAUAUGAAAGAAAACUUCAGAUCUAUCAAUUAAUUGGAUAAUCGGUGUAUUUUGACGAAAUUUGGUAGAAUCGGUGUAUUUUGAAUCGGCAGAAAUUUGGUAGAAUCGGCAGAAAUUUGGUAGAAUCGGUGUAUUUUGAAGAAGGAUAUAACUCUCUCUAUUGAAAUCGAGAUAACUCCUGGGGACCUUCAGAGAAGACGCAAUUGUCGCCGAUUGAUUUUUCUCUUUUUGCUCUGCGUUGUGUUUGAAUCAGUCUCAAGGAAAAAAUUGAACUAGCAUUGAGCCAAAGUACCGUGGAUGAGUCUGAAAUUUCGCCAAAUGAUAUUAUUGGUAAGGUGUUGGGAAAAGAGCUCUCUGGAAGGGUAAGGUGCUUAGGAUUAGGAGUUGUUCCUGGUAGAGCUUCUAGACAAACAAGACCUCGUUAUAGUGAUUUGAAUGCUUCAAGUUAUAAUAAUGAUUCAUGUUCUUUCCAAUGCCAAGAGAAGUACAAUCAAAUGUUGAAUGCUCACAAUCAAAGCCAAGAGAACUACAGAGAAAUGAUGAAUGUUAACACUCAAAUGAUGAAUGCUUUUAAGGCGUAUAUGAUAAUGAAAGAAGGAAAAAUACCUGAAGAAUUUGCAAGGAUAUUUGUUUCUCCUCCUCGUUCAACGCCAAGUGAUGCGGCUAGCGGAUCCAUUUCACCCAUGGAUAUAAGAAGAUCAUCCGGUGGAAGUAAUUCUAACGACAACCAUUGAAGUUGCUUGCAAAUGUAUUAGAUAACUAAGUAUCGUACUCGAUUGAAUGGUCAUAGUAGAUCUUUUGUCCAUAAUAGUUGGAGUGGAUGUUCUGUUUAAUGUUAGUUUUAAGACUAAUUAUAAUAUUGAUAUUUUG